rnacentral:rRNA from 1 species
UGGGGAAUUUUGGACAAUGGGCGCAAGCCUGAUCCAGCCAUGCCGCGUGCGGGAAGAAGGCCUUCGGGUUGUAAACCGCUUUUGUCAGGGAAGAAAUCUUCUGAGUUAAUACCUCGGGAGGAUGACGGUACCUGAAGAAUAAGCACCGGCUAACUACGUGCCAGCAGCCGCGGUAAUACGUAGGGUGCAAGCGUUAAUCGGAAUUACUGGGCGUAAAGCGUGCGCAGGCGGUUUUGUAAGACAGAGGUGAAAUCCCCGGGCUCAACCUGGGAACUGCCUUUGUGACUGCAAGGCUUGAGUGCGGCAGAGGGGGAUGGAAUUCCGCGUGUAGCAGUGAAAUGCGUAGAUAUGCGGAGGAAACACCGAUGGCGAAGGCAAUCCCCUGGGCCUGCACUGACGCUCAUGCACGAAAGCGUGGGGAGCAAACAGGAUUAGAUACCCUGGUAGUCCACGCCCUAAACGAUGUCAACUGGUUGUUGGGAAGGUUCCUUCUCAGUAACGUAGCUAACGCGUGAAGUUGACCGCCU